rnacentral:rRNA from 1 species
AGCGGCGGACGGGUGAGUAAUGCCUAGGAAUCUGCCUGGUAGUGGGGGAUAACGUUCGGAAACGGACGCUAAUACCGCAUACGUCCUACGGGAGAAAGCAGGGGACCUUCGGGCCUUGCGCUAUCAGAUGAGCCUAGGUCGGAUUAGCUAGUUGGUGAGGUAAUGGCUCACCAAGGCGACGAUCCGUAACUGGUCUGAGAGGAUGAUCAGUCACACUGGAACUGAGACACGGUCCAGACUCCUACGGGAGGCAGCAGUGGGGAAUAUUGGACAAUGGGCGAAAGCCUGAUCCAGCCAUGCCGCGUGUGUGAAGAAGGUCUUCGGAUUGUAAAGCACUUUAAGUUGGGAGGAAGGGUUGUAGAUUAAUACUCUGCAAUUUUGACGUUACCGACAGAAUAAGCACCGGCUAACUCUGUGCCAGCAGCCGCGGUAAUACAGAGGGUGCAAGCGUUAAUCGGAAUUACUGGGCGUAAAGCGCGCGUAGGUGGUUUGUUAAGUUGGAUGUGAAAUCCCCGGGCUCAACCUGGGAACUGCAUUCAAAAACUGACUGACUAGAGUAUGGUAGAGGGUG